AUUGAACGCUGGCGGCAGGCCUAACACAUGCAAGUCGAGCGGAUGACAGGAGCUUGCUUCUGAAUUCAGCGGCGGACGGGUGAGUAAUGCCUAGGAAUCUGCCUGGUAGUGGGGGACAACGUUUCGAAAGGAACGCUAAUACCGCAUACGUCCUACGGGAGAAAGCAGGGGACCUUCGGGCCUUGCGCUAUCAGAUGAGCCUAGGUCGGAUUAGCUAGUUGGUGAGGUAAUGGCUCACCAAGGCGACGAUCCGUAACUGGUCUGAGAGGAUGAUCAGUCACACUGGAACUGAGACACGGUCCAGACUCCUACGGGAGGCAGCAGUGGGGAAUAUUGGACAAUGGGCGAAAGCCUGAUCCAGCCAUGCCGCGUGUGUGAAGAAGGUCUUCGGAUUGUAAAGCACUUUAAGUUGGGAGGAAGGGCAUUAACCUAAUACGUUAGUGUUUUGACGUUACCGACAGAAUAAGCACCGGCUAACUCUGUGCCAGCAGCCGCGGUAAUACAGAGGGUGCAAGCGUUAAUCGGAAUUACUGGGCGUAAAGCGCGCGUAGGUGGUUUGUUAAGUUGGAUGUGAAAUCCCCGGGCUCAACCUGGGAACUGCAUUCAAAACUGACAAGCUAGAGUAUGGUAGAGGGUGGUGGAAUUUCAUGUGUAGCGGUGAAAUGCGUAGAUAUAGGAAGGAACACCAGUGGCGAAGGCGACCACCUGGACUGAUACUGACACUGAGGUGCGAAAGCGUGGGGAGCAAACAGG
rnacentral:rRNA from 1 species